rnacentral:tRNA from 1 species
GCCUGGAUGGCUCAGUUGGUUAUGCGUCUGACUUCAGCUCAGGUCAUGAUCUCACAGUUAGUUUGUGGGUUCAAGUCCCAUGUUGGGCU